GCUUCGGUGGCGAAGUUGGUUAACGUGCCUUCCUAACAUGAAGGAGGCCCAGGUUCAACUCCUGUCCGAAGUA